rnacentral:rRNA from 1 species
AGCGCAUACGGUGGAUGCCUUGGCAGUCAGAGGCGAUGAAAGACGUGGUAGCCUGCGAAAAGCUUCGGGGAGUCGGCAAACAGACUUUGAUCCGGAGAUGUCUGAAUGGGGGAACCCAGCCAUCAUAAGAUGGUUAUCUUGUACUGAAUACAUAGGUGCAAGAGGCGAACCAGGGGAACUGAAACAUCUAAGUACCCUGAGGAAAAGAAAUCAACCGAGAUUCCCUUAGUAGUGGCGAGCGAACGGGGACUAGCCCUUAAGUGGCUUUGAGAUUAGCGGAACGCUCUGGAAAGUGCGGCCAUAGUGGGUGAUAGCCCUGUACGCGAAAAUCUCUUAGUCAUGAAAUCGAGUAGGACGGAGCACGAGAAACUUUGUCUGAAUAUGGGGGGACCAUCCUCCAAGGCUAAAUACUACUGACUGACCGAUAGUGAACUAGUACCGUGAGGGAAAGGCGAAAAGAACCCCGGAGAGGGGAGUGAAAUAGAUCCUGAAACCGUAUGCGUACAAGCAGUGGGAGCAGACUUUGUUCUGUGACUGCGUACCUUUUGUAUAAUGGGUCAGCGACUUAUUUUCAGUGGCGAGCUUAACCGAAUAGGGGAGGCGUAGCGAAAGCGAGUCUUAAUAGGGCGUCUAGUCGCUGGGAAUAGACCCGAAACCGGGCGAUCUAUCCAUGGGCAGGUUGAAGGUUGGGUAACACUAACUGGAGGACCGAACCGACUACCGUUGAAAAGUUAGCGGAUGACCUGUGGAUCGGAGUGAAAGGCUAAUCAAGCUCGGAGAUAGCUGGUUCUCCUCGAAAGCUAUUUAGGUAGCGCCUCAUGUAUCACUGUAGGGGGUAGAGCACUGUUUCGGCUAGGGGGUCAUCCCGACUUACCAAACCGAUGCAAACUCCGAAUACCUACAAGUGCCGAGCAUGGGAGACACACGGCGGGUGCUAACGUCCGUCGUGAAAAGGGAAACAACCCAGACCGUCAGCUAAGGUCCCAAAGUUAUGGUUAAGUGGGAAACGAUGUGGGAAGGCUUAGACAGCUAGGAGGUUGGCUUAGAAGCAGCCACCCUUUAAAGAAAGCGUAAUAGCUCACUAGUCGAGUCGGCCUGCGCGGAAGAUGUAACGGGGCUCAAACCAUACACCGAAGCUACGGGUAUCACGUAAGUGAUGCGGUAGAGGAGCGUUCUGUAAGCCUGUGAAGGUGAGUUGAGAAGCUUGCUGGAGGUAUCAGAAGUGCGAAUGCUGACAUGAGUAACGACAAUGGGUGUGAAAAACACCCACGCCGAAAGACCAAGGUUUCCUGCGCAACGUUAAUCGACGCAGGGUUAGUCGGUCCCUAAGGCGAGGCUGAAAAGCGUAGUCGAUGGAAAACAGGUUAAUAUUCCUGUACUUCUGGUUAUUGCGAUGGAGGGACGGAGAAGGCUAGGCCAGCUUGGCGUUGGUUGUCCAAGUUUAAGGUGGUAGGCUGAGAUCUUAGGUAAAUCCGGGAUCUUAAGGCCGAGAGCUGAUGACGAGUUAACUUUUAGUUAAUGGUAGGCUGAGAUCUUAGGUAAAUCCGGGAUCUUAAGGCCGAGAGCUGAUGACGAGUUAACUUUUAGUUAACGAAGUGGUUGAUGCCAUGCUUCCAAGAAAAGCUUCUAAGCUUCAGGUAACCAGGAACCGUACCCCAAACCGACACAGGUGGUUGGGUAGAGAAUACCAAGGCGCUUGAGAGAACUCGGGUGAAGGAACUAGGCAAAAUGGCACCGUAACUUCGGGAGAAGGUGCGCCGGUGAGGGUGAAGGACUUGCUCCGUAAGCUCAUGCCGGUCGAAGAUACCAGGCCGCUGCGACUGUUUAUUAAAAACACAGCACUCUGCAAACACGAAAGUGGACGUAUAGGGUGUGACGCCUGCCCGGUGCCGGAAGGUUAAUUGAUGGGGUUAGCUAACGCGAAGCUCUUGAUCGAAGCCCCGGUAAACGGCGGCCGUAACUAUAACGGUCCUAAGGUAGCGAAAUUCCUUGUCGGGUAAGUUCCGACCUGCACGAAUGGCGUAACGAUGGCGGCGCUGUCUCCACCCGAGACUCAGUGAAAUUGAAAUCGCUGUGAAGAUGCAGUGUAUCCGCGGCUAGACGGAAAGACCCCGUGAACCUUUACUAUAGCUUUGCACUGGACUUUGAAUUUGCUUGUGUAGGAUAGGUGGGAGGCUUUGAAGCGUGGACGCCAGUUCGCGUGGAGCCAUCCUUGAAAUACCACCCUGGCAACUUUGAGGUUCUAACUCAGGUCCGUUAUCCGGAUCGAGGACAGUGUAUGGUGGGUAGUUUGACUGGGGCGGUCUCCUCCUAAAGAGUAACGGAGGAGUACGAAGGUGCGCUCAGACCGGUCGGAAAUCGGUCGUAGAGUAUAAAGGCAAAAGCGCGCUUGACUGCGAGACAGACACGUCGAGCAGGUACGAAAGUAGGUCUUAGUGAUCCGGUGGUUCUGUAUGGAAGGGCCAUCGCUCAACGGAUAAAAGGUACUCCGGGGAUAACAGGCUGAUACCGCCCAAGAGUUCAUAUCGACGGCGGUGUUUGGCACCUCGAUGUCGGCUCAUCACAUCCUGGGGCUGAAGCCGGUCCCAAGGGUAUGGCUGUUCGCCAUUUAAAGUGGUACGCGAGCUGGGUUUAGAACGUCGUGAGACAGUUCGGUCCCUAUCUGCCGUGGACGUUUGAGAUUUGAGAGGGGCUGCUCCUAGUACGAGAGGACCGGAGUGGACGAACCUCUGGUGUUCCGGUUGUCACGCCAGUGGCAUUGCCGGGUAGCUAUGUUCGGAAUAGAUAACCGCUGAAAGCAUCUAAGCGGGAAACUAGCCUCAAGAUGAGAUCUCACUGGAACCUUGA